UGCACACUUACAGUCUGAGUCAAUCUUUCAUAAUUGCCCUGCAUUUGACCUCUACCAACUGGAGUUAAUUAUUGAAGGACUGUCUGACUAGAAAUCCUGCAGGAAGCUGUGGUGGAGGCUGAAAGUGCAGACAAAGCUGCUGCAGCUGCAAAAAAGCUAUUGAACGGACAAGAAUGACUUUCUGAAGAGAAGCAUUUUCAUUCCGAGACGUUAAAGGGUUUGACCUUCAGGAGUCCUCUUGCUGCUCUAUCUGAUGACGACAUUAAUUGCUUGACGAAAAUGUCCGGGUUUGCUGAUUGCCAAACAUCCCGUCGCUCUCAAGAGUUCAAGACAUCUGUGAAACUGACUGAAGAAUGAUGAAUACUUCAGCUAAAAACAGGAGUUGACUUAGAAAGUGAGCUGUUACUAUCUGAGCCGAUAUCGAUAUAUGAUAUCAAUACUGCUGAUAGGCAUUCGCUAUUCUGUUGCAUCCGGCAAAGACAUUAGACAUUCUCCACGAGAUGCGAUUCCGCUCUUUUUUGCCUUUGAGAUACGGCUUAGAAAACAGAAGCUAUGAAGGCACACUGUGACUGUGGUGGACUGGCUCAAACCACGUCUGGCAGUGCACUUCCCUGUCUAUACCUGAAGGGCAU